rnacentral:rRNA from 1 species
UACGGGGUAGGGCAGUGUUGUCGAUUUAUUGGGCGUAAAGAGCGUGUAGGCGGCCGUACAGGUCAGCUGUGAAAACUCGAGGCUCAACCUCGAGACGUCGGUUGAAACCGUACGGCUAGAGUCCGGAAGAGGAGAGUGGAAUUCCCGGUGUAGCGGUGAAAUGCGCAGAUAUCGGGAAGAACACCCGUGGCGAAGGCGGCUCUCUGGGACGGUACUGACGCUGAGACGCGAAAGCGUGGGGAGCGAACAGG